UACGGAGGGUGCAAGCGUUGAUCGGAAUUACUGGGCGUAAAGCGCACGUAGGCGGCUGUGUAAGUUCGAGGUGAAAGCCUGGUGCUCAACAGCAGAAUUGCCUUUAAUACUGCACGGCUUGAGUCCUGUAGAGGGGGGUGGAAUUCCAGGUGUAGCGGUGAAAUGCGUAGAUAUCUGGAAGAACACCGGUGGCGAAGGCGGCUCCCUGGAC
rnacentral:rRNA from 1 species